rnacentral:misc_RNA from 1 species
GGUGGACCGUUCAUCCUGCAGGCCAGGGGCUAGCUCGACUGCACUGGACUACUGCCGACUGACUGCGCCUGCGCGCGCUUGAUGAUAAGGGUCACGACACCUGUCAUGGCCAACCUUCUCUGGAACGUGGGGCUAAAGGCCUUAUUUCUGAUUCCAUUUAUCAUCUACAGUAUUUCCAAGGGAUUUGUGCUACUCGGGUUAUCUCUUAUCUUUCGAGGAAGAAAAUGGAUGUUCGAGAAAAAAGAGCGAACUGGUCGACCGCCAUGUAUGGAUAAUCCGAGUUUCGGAACUCACAAAACUGUCCGAGUCAAGGGAUUAAACCUUCAUGUGGUUGUAUCUGGUAAUCCUCAACACCCCCUGAUGCUCUUCCUUCAUGGCUUCCCAGAAUGCUGGUAUUCCUGGAGACAUCAAAUCAAAGAAUUCAACAAAGAUUAUUACUGUGUGUCCUUUGAUAUGAGAGGUGUCGGCGAGUCUGAUGCUCCAUUGGGUGUCAAGAAUUAUAGCAUUGAUGAACUUGUCAGUGACGUGAGCGAAUUGGUGAAAGUUCUCGGUUACACAUCCUGUGUUGUCGUUGGACAUGAUUGGGGUGGAGCAAUCGCUUGGGAGUUUGCUUCCCGCUAUCCAGACCUGGUCGAGAAAUUGAUCAACAUGAAUAUACCCCACCUCGAAAGGUUCAGGGAGGUUAUGGAAAGUGGUACAUCUCAGCUUUUCAUGUCAUGGUAUAUUAUGUUCUUCCAGUUACCCCGUCUUCCUGAAAUUUUGAUCUCAAUGGGAGACUACGCCAUGAUCAAAGCGGCUUGCAAGAAAGGUCCCACAACAGAUGAAGAUAUAGAAGCCUUCAAGUACUCUAUGAGCAGACCAGGUCGAUUAACUUCAUUCCUGAACUACUACCGGGCAAUGGUCCGGUAUCCACCGAAGGACGGGAGAGAUAGGAUCCAAUGUCCUACCCUACUUAUCUGGGGAACAGGGGACACGGCCCUCCACACUGAUAAUUCCUAUGGGACAGAGAAGUUCUGCGAAGAUCUCACGGUGGAGCGUAUAGAAGGAGGCGAUCAUUUCAUCCAACAGGAACGACCUAACGAGGUUAAUGAGAUCAUGAGGAAGUAUCUCGCUGACCAUUAGAUUCCUCAGGUCAAGCCAAGGCUGUCUCUCUCAACUUUUUUGCAUUCAUUGGUUGUUUGAAAAUGCAUUGCCUUUCUAUGUUUGAGCAAUGAAACAAUCAUACUAAACCAAGACAUUGGACAGACGUUGAAUUACCGGUAUGUAGAAUUGCAAUAAGUUCUAGAACAAGAUAUGUUUAUCAUCUGAUUUUUCUUUGUUUUGCUUUUGAUCAGAGCUUCAGGAAUCAUAUUAUUGAAUUGCACCAUACCUUUUCCAUAAUGAAAUUUGUGGAUGACAUACAUGUAUAUCAAUUAAAAUAUAACUAAAAAAUAAAGACAAUCAGCCAAUCAAAUUGUCAGUCAACAAUCCAAUUAAUCAAAUGGUGAGUCCACAAUCACUCAAACAUGGCAACUCAGCAUCCCUAACUUUUAGAAAGACAAAUGCAAUCUGCCAGAAGUACAAGAGAGAAUAAAAAGUUCUUAUCGUUAAGUGAUUAUAAUAUAUCAUAUUCUGAAACAUAUUUAAUACUUAAGAAAUUGAUCCAAUAUGGCAGUUUCUUUCACGUGCAUAUGCUAAGAACACCAUUAAGAUGCUCUACACCAAAAAUUUGAACAGUUAACAAGCUAGAGGAAAAAGUAUGAUUUUUGGAUACUAACUUAUGCAUAUAAUUAAUAGUAAUUUGCAUGAAAAAAAAUUAUAAUUUUGUAGAUUAUUUCCUAGACAACCUGCAUGCCAAUUUGCCAAUUUUCAGAGUGAUUGUGCAUUCGACGCCAUAUGAUCUCCCUAAAUGGUCUGCUGGCCAAGAUAGGGUUACACAUUCUUAAUUUAUUGUGGGAUGCAAGUGCGCUAGAUUUAAGCAACUCAGCACUAAACCAUCGAAUACUAUCUCUCUUUCCAUGGAAGAUACAACAUCAGUAUCAAAAUACACUGUACAUACCAGAUGAAAUAGGAAAAAUACACGUUAUUAAGCAGCUACUAAUUAUCUGGCUGUAAAAAUAAUAGCUGGCUCCGGUCCAAAUGGCGAAUAGUUUAAAUAUGGAAGCCUUCUAUCUUUCAAUUCAAACUAUUUGAACUGCAUGAUAAUGCUUAAUUUCUAUGCCAAUGAAUUUAAAUCAGUCCCUUGUGAAUUUUCAUUUCUCAUUCAUUUUUUAUUCGAGAUUCAGAAUAAUCAUGUGUUUUUCAAAAUACAUGCAGUAUUUAUGUUUGACACUUGAUAACAUGGAAAUGGUUGAUUUAUUUAUGUAAUUAAAGAUGGUAAUGUUUGGUAGUUGUUUACAUGCAUUUACACAAGGUGCUGAUGUGUGAGAGAAUAUACCAUAGAAUAAUUUGAAAUCAAUGAGAAUUAUACUGUCGUUCUCUGCCCGGCUAAUCUGUUUGUGAUUUGUUUCUUCUUUUUUUUUUAACUUGAAACGUAAUUGCUGAUAUGUCAUAGCUGUAAUAAUACUUGUGACAUCAAGCUGAAAUCAGAAUUCAUUCUAUCCAACAGUUGUGUUUAUCGUUCUGUUUCUAUAUUGUAAAUCAAAAUUUACAAUUAAUUUACAAUAUUCGGCAUUCUAUGAAAAGUGAGAAAAGAACCACAAAGUAUUUUGUGACAUUUGAUGAAAAAAAAUGUCAUGGAUGUGAAAAAAUUAUUGCAUAUGUUUAACGUUAUUAAUUUCCAUUGUUAAUGGCAUAUGAUUAGUAUAUCACAGCUUAUUUCUUAAUAUUAACAUGCAUUGCACACAUUGUAAAGACAAGGAAAACGAAAGGUACUAAUUUUAUAUUUGUAAAUAUUAUGAAUACAUCAUCUGCUCUAAUGAAAUAAUAAAUAUUCCCUGAAAUGAAUAAUUUGUGAUAUAUUGACUGCAUUUUGUUUGUUUGAAUUCGGACAAGAGUCGCUGAUGUGAUUAUCAGCGUGAUAUUCAUGUAUAUAUUGUCGGGUUCGCUGGAUUGCAACCAUUCUGCCCCAUAUUUGAAGAGGAUAGUCCUGUCUUUGUAUGUAUGAGCAUAUUCCUACCACCUCUGUCAGAUAGAGGUGGAUUGCAACCAUUCUGCCCCAUAUUUGAAAAGAGGAUAGUCCUGUCUUUGUAUGUAUGAGCUUGUUCCUACCACCUCUGUCAGAUAGAGGUGGAUUGUAACCAUUCUGCCCCAUUCUGCCCCAUAUUUGAAAAGAGGAUACUCCUGUCUUUGUAUGUAUGAGCAUGUUCCUACCACCUCUGUCAGAUAGAGGUGGAUUGCAACCAUUCUGCCCCAUAUUUUAAAAGAGGAUACUCCUGUCUUUGUAUGUAUGAGCAUGUUCCUACCACCUCUGUCAGAUAGAGGUGGUAUAGGUCCAUGGUAAGAGACAAUUAAGUAAUCCACCUCAUCAACUUUUAUAGGGUAUCAUAUUUGAUACCCAUUAUUUAAUUCCAGGCACAUCAAUAGUUUCAGAAAAAAAAUCUUUGAAGUUUAUUUCAUUCUGCGAGUACACUUAUAUGACAUACACCUUAGAAAACACAGUUUGAACAAAAUAUUGCAUCUUCCAUUAUGCCCAUGAUCAUGUGAGACCGUAAAUAAAUGAAAUCUUUCAAGUUUUACCUCACAAAACAUAUACGGUACGUUUUAUCACAUAGGCCUACUUUCGUGAAACUUCAUAAUUCUCCUCAAUGAAAAUUAUAAGUUUUUAAAAGAGGGUACAAAUGAAUAAUUUUUUUUUAUUUCAUUGAUACACCCCAAACAAAAAAAAAACACUGAAUGCUUGAAUACAUGCCAUUUGCCACCUUUGUUUUACAAAAAUCUGAAAUAUAUUUCAGCUUCCAACUUUCCAACUGAUUUCAAGGAUUAAUGCAUAAUCUGUGACACAACAAAUAUUUAAAGUUUGGUUAUAAUUUCGAAGAGUGCGAGGGUGGGUUUGAGCCGUUGAUGCAGUCAUCGUAUUGGAAUCGGUAUGAAGUGUUUUGAAGUCACAUGCAUAAACUAUUUUCUCAAACCGACCUAAAUCGUUUUUAAAGGGAUAUUCGAGGCUGAAAAUAAUAGGAUUUCUGUUUGUGGUAACUCCCGUAGGAACUCGGCAGGACAGCAUUUCUGCUGGUAAACGCCAAGCUGGUAUAUAACAAUUACAUUGGAAACGUUUUACAUCUAGGUUAAUCAGUCAUAGUGGCUGACGUAAUGAACAGAGAAAGAAAAA